ensembl:misc_RNA Metazoa_SRP Metazoan signal recognition particle RNA
GCUGGGCGUGGUGGCGUGCGCCUGUAAUCCCAGCUACUCAGGAGGCUGAGGCAGGAGAAUCGCUGGAACCCAGGAGGCAGAGGUUGCAGUGAGCUGAGAUCGUGCCACUGCACUCCAGCCUGGGUGACAGAGUGAGAGACAGCCUCUA